rnacentral:lncRNA from 1 species
AUAAAUAAAAUAAUUUUGAAUAAAAAUAUAUUUAAUUAUAAACAAGGUAACCAUGAAAUGUGAUCCUCGUAGGCUGUGCCCACCUUCUUUCCUUUCAUGCUUUAUAAAAGUUUGACCCCUCCACUCCAUUCCACAUGCUUCACCUCUCUAACUCCUCUUCUUUCAUUCUUCUUUUACAUAUGAAAUAAAAUAAAAUAUAAUCUCCGGAAUCUCAAUCCCCCUUCUCCUACCAUAUAUAUUUAUAUUUCCCUUCAAAGAAGAAACUUACAGAGUCUCUCUUUCCCUUUAAUUAUUUCUUUAUUAGUAUUCUCACAAUUCCACAAGCACAAUCCUUGCAAAAUGCAAAUGCACUAACAUUAAACUUUGCAGCAGAGGAAGGCAGAGACAGACCACUCACCACUUCCCACACACCUCUUUCCCCUUCUCUCUUUUCUGUAUUUAUGGAAUCUCACACCUUUGCAUUAUAGUAUUAUUAUUAUAUCUUCUUAUAUAUGCAUCCAAUUAUUCUCCUUUAUCCAAUUAUUAUAUAUUCUUAUUAAGAGUUAGAUUAGAUGUGAUAUUGUACUCUAUAUAUGUUUCAUAACUUACACUAUUAAAAAAGAGAUUAAGGGAUUGUAUUGUCACUAAAAGGUUUUUUGCACUGCAUUCGUAUUGAUGUUGUAAGUGUGGUAAGAAAUUUCUCUUUGAAUUAAAAAACAGAUGUUAAAUAAUAUAUAAAUGAGAUGAUCUAUAUAGGUAUGUCUUAAACGUUUGGGUGAAAAUAUACCGUUCAAACUCAUUUAGGUGGCUC